rnacentral:rRNA from 1 species
UACGAAGGGGGCUAGCGUUGCUCGGAAUGACUGGGCGUAAAGGGCGCGUAGGCGGAUUGCUUUGUCAGACGUGAAAUUCCAGGGCUCAACCUUGGGGCUGCGUUUGAGACGGGUGAUCUUGAGUUCGGAAGAGGGUCGUGGAAUUCCUGGUGUAGCGGUGAAAUGCGCAGAUAUCAGGAAGAACACCCGUGGCUAAGGCGGUUCUCUAGUACGGUACUGACGCUGAGACGCGAAAGCGUGGGGAGCGAACAGG